GACGAACGCUGGCGGCGUGCUUAACACAUGCAAGUCGAACGGAAAGGCCCUGCUUUUGUGGGGUGCUCGAGUGGCAAACGGGUGAGUAACACGUGAGUAACCUGCCCUUGACUUUGGGAUAACUUCAGGAAACUGGGGCUAAUACCGGAUAGGAGCUCCUGCUGCAUGGUGGGGGUUGGAAAGUUUCGGCGGUUGGGGAUGGACUCGCGGCUUAUCAGCUUGUUGGUGGGGUAGUGGCUUACCAAGGCUUUGACGGGUAGCCGGCCUGAGAGGGUGACCGGCAAGGUUGGGGAGGAGUGCCGGCCGGGACGCGUGGGGGGAGGGGGGGGGGUGAAUAGUGCGAACGGGGCGGGCGCCUGGUGCGGAGCGGGGGGGGGGGGGUAGCGGGCUUUGGGGAUGGAGCACGGCGUCGGCUGUGAGGAAGGGAGAGUGAGGGGAAGGGGAAAGGAGACACGGGAUAAACAGGUCCCAGGAGCGGAUGGGUGGUGGACGACAACAUGUCCGAUC
rnacentral:rRNA from 1 species